UCCCCCUCCCAACGCUCCACUCAAUGUUUGUCUGUCUGUCCGGAACGUCUGUUUAUGUAUGCUUUAGGCGUACACAUGCAUGAGUGUGAGUGAGCAAUUUUUAUUUUUCUGAAUGUAAAGGAAGUGGCACGUACUGUACUACUCAACUCACCGCUGCCGCAACAACAAGAGCAGUGACAGCCGGAUCAGGCUGGGAAUUCGAAUAAGAGCGGAGCGCGUCGCAUUCGGAUGUUCCGAUUCCGCAUCGUUCCCAGCCGCAAAGCGGUCAGCGUUCCAAUGCCAACAGCACAGUGGUUGCGAUGCGAAAAGUAACGUGCUACGGAACCGAAACUCGCGGAUGAUCAUGCUCAUUUAGGAUCGAUCCAUUGUGCAGCGAGAUGAGCGGAACGAAAGGCGAAAAGGAGAGCGCUGCUGGUUUGCGUCUCCGCUGUGCGGCAGGCAGACAGACAAGACGCCGCAAUAUUAUAAACAGGAAAUGGAAUUUACCCACACGGAUGCAGCGCGGUGAAGUGUGUGCCUGUGUAAAUUGCUGAUGAGCCGACAAACGGACGUGGUGCUCAAUUGACAAAUGAGCACGAGAGAAACAGGCAGAGCAUAGCACACCGCCGAAUGAGCGAAGGAGAAGGCGAGAGCGCGCUUACAAAGUUGAUUGAAAUCAAUAUACGUACAUACACAUGUGCAUGUACACACAUAACGUGCCGGUGUGAGUGUGCUAAGACCGCUCGUGGAAUGUUUGAAAAACGCGGUCAAGCGACGGGAAGAGCAAGAAUGUUGAACUCUGGAAGUGGGAAGAAGUUUCUGUAAAUAGAAGCGAGGUGGAGGGGGCUUUUGCACCUGCCACGCCCAGCUGCCCCUGGAAUCAAUUAACAUGUUGCACAACUGCAGCGGCUCCUAUGUACAUAGUGCAUAUAUGUAUUGUGAUACAGUGACUUACGCACACAGAGGUGCAAUUGCAGAUGGCGACGAGUGUAGCGUGUAGUUUUUUCUCGGAAAUGAGCAAUGAAUGAAAUUCGGUUGUUUUCAGCGUGUACUCACACACACACGAACGCACAUGCAUACACUCGCAAUUUGGAGCAAGAGAGAAAGUCUGCACGACAUGCGCUCUGGCAUUUGUGUGUAUACAAUUUGUUUACUUUUUGCGCUACAAUUGGCAAAUAAAACAAUAGCGCAAUUUUACGCAGCAUUUUAGCUUACUAACCCACAUUGAUGGCUUCACAAAGCGAGCAAAAUAAAUUGUCUUCAUAAUUCAAAAAAAAUAUUAAGUAAAACUAAGCAGAAAAAAUGUCGGCAAAAAACAAGGCGCAGCUGUAUUGUGCGCUAGUGUGUGUAAAAAGGAGACGGCCAUAGAAAAAAAAAA